AUCAGUGCCGAUCUGUCAGCAGCAAGUCGCGCACUGCUUGUCCCAGGCAGCAGCAGUGAUAUACGUCUUAUUCCUUUGAGCUCACAAAAGGGAUUUCUUUCGACAAGCUGGACAUUGGAAGAAGGCUGCGAGAAGGGAAUUGAACAUGAGAAACACUCUUGUGGGAGUGGAUUCUUACAGGAACACCCCAGUCACUGUGGCUUCAGCGUGGCUGCAUUUAUGAAAGGCUGGAAGUAGAAAACUCUGGAAUGGAGAGACUAGCAGCUGGAACAGGAUUCAAAGGCUUUAAAUUUUAACCCGAGUUCGAUCGAAAGUUACUACCACAAGAGACUGGCACGGGCCGGCCCAAUUCCCACCACGGCUUCCAGCGGCUUGCUUUGGGUUGUCCGGAUCAGAGAAGCACUCCAUAUCCCCUUGGGGUCAUGAGCAGAACGAUCUGAACCCCGGCAGAUGUGAUAGACCUGUGUCCCGGAAUCCCGGAACUGAACCCAGGAAGGGUGUAGACUCUCAAAGGUUAGUUUGGUCAAACGCAGUAUUUAGAGUCAUUAUUAAUUACAGCUGGCAUGGUUACUUGAUGCCCAGGGCUGUGUGUCAGCCAAAGCCAUCACUUCCCUCUCAAAGGAUGAAACCAAGGGUCCUCAUUUAUCAGACUCGGGACUCUGAAAGUCCUGGAGGAAGGGGAGGGGGUGUCUAUUGGAAUGGUCAGAUAAUGAUUCCAUGAUUCUCUUUUGGAAACAGAAAGGGCUGAGAGGGCAGGGAGCAUGGCCGAGAUGCCCAGGUCCUGGUGGGUAGGGCCUCUGCUUUGCUGCUCCCUCAAUGUACUCUACAGACCUGGACUCAUUUCCAAAGCGCAGUCCAGGUUCUUCUGUCGCCUUAUGCUGGGGUGUGAACUUACAGACACCCCUUUUCCUAUUCCUUCCAAAUCGCUUACUUUCCAAACACCCUCACUGUGUAGCCUUGCCCUCUAACCCAGCCUCUAAAGGAUGAGAAAAGGAAGCCUCAGAAAGAAGGGACUUUCUGCUCCACGCCUAAGCUAGACCUAAGGGCUCCUUGGAUGUGGGGGCAGAGUGGCUGAGAGCAUGGGUACAAUGAAUUCUGGGAUGUGGAUCCCACUGCCCCAAACCUUUGUCCCUUGGAGUCCUUAAGUAGCAUUUGCCCUUCUCUUUCCUUUCUUUUCUUUCCUCUCUCUCUCUCUCUCUCUCUCUCUCUCUCUCUCUCUCUCUCUCUCUCUCUCCUUUUUUUUAAAGGCCAGGCAGGGAUUGAUAAAGUAAAAAAUAAAGAAAACAGAAAAAUGA
rnacentral:lncRNA from 1 species